rnacentral:lncRNA from 1 species
GAGGGAUCAUAGAUACCUUAUAUAGCAACAAUAAUCAACAACACAAGAUCUGCAUUUUAAUUCAAACACAGUCGAAAUUUGUAAUCGUCUUCUUAUGAGCGAUAUUGACCUUGAAUGACGAUUUUUACAUAUUUGUUUGGCCUUUUCGCAAUAAUUUUGUAAAGUAUAAUGAAUAGAAAGAAUGUUAAACAGCCAGAAACGGACACACUACUUCUUGUUAUUACCCC